rnacentral:rRNA from 1 species
AUUGAACGCUGGCGGCAGGCCUAACACAUGCAAGUCGAGCGGCAGCGGGAAAGUAGCUUGCUACUUUUGCCGGCGAGCGGCGGACGGGUGAGUAAUGCCUGGGAAAUUGCCCAGUCGAGGGGGAUAACAGCUGGAAACGACUGCUAAUACCGCAUACGCCCUACGGGGGAAAGCAGGGGACCUUCGGGCCUUGCGCGAUUGGAUAUGCCCAGGUGGGAUUAGCUAGUUGGUGAGGUAAUGGCUCACCAAGGCGACGAUCCCUAGCUGGUCUGAGAGGAUGAUCAGCCACACUGGAACUGAGACACGGUCCAGACUCCUACGGGAGGCAGCAGUGGGGAAUAUUGCACAAUGGGGGAAACCCUGAUGCAGCCAUGCCGCGUGUGUGAAGAAGGCCUUCGGGUUGUAAAGCACUUUCAGCGAGGAGGAAAGGUUGAUGCCUAAUACGUAUCAACUGUGACGUUACCCGCAGAAGAAGCACCGGCUAACUCCGUGCCAGCCGCCGCAGUAA